rnacentral:rRNA from 1 species
UCUGCCCUGCAGCGGGGGAUAGCCCGGGGAAACUCGGAUUAAUACCGCAUACGCUCUACGGAGGAAAGUGGGCCUCUUCUUGAAAGCUCACACUGCAGGAUGAGCCUACGUCCGAUUAGCUUGUUGGUAGGGUAAAACCCUACCAAGGCGACGAUCGGUAGCUGGUCUGAGAGGAUGAUCAGCCACACCGGGACUGAGACACGGCCCGGACUCCUACGGGAGGCAGCAGUGGGGAAUAUUGGACAAUGGGCGCAAGCCUGAUCCAGCAAUGCCGCGUGUGUGAAGAAGGCCUGCGGGUUGUAAAGCACUUUUCUGAGGGAAGAAACGGCUUGGGCUAAUACCCCAUGGGAAUUGACGGUACCUCAGGUAAUAAGCACCGGCUAANU